rnacentral:tRNA from 1 species
GGGGAUAUGGCGAAAUAGGUAGACGCUACGGACUU